AGAGUUUGAUCCUGGCUCAGGAUAAACGCUGGCGGCAUGCCUAAUACAUGCAAGUCGAACGGACAUAGCAAUAUGUUAGUGGCGAACGGGUGAGUAACACGUAAGUAACCAACCUUCAAGACGAGGAUAACCACUGGAAACGGUAGCUAAAACUGGAUAGGAUAUUUUAUCACAAGAUGGAAUAUUUAAAGGUGCUGAAAGGCACUACUUGAAGCUGGGCUUGCGGCGCAUUAGAUAGUUGGUGAGGUAACGGCCCACCAAGUCAACGAUGCGUAGCAGCGCUGAGAGGCGGAACUGCCACACUGGGACUGAGACACGGCCCAGACUCCUACGGGAGGCAGCAGUAGGGAAUUUUCGGCAAUGGGGGGAACCCUGACCGAGCAAUGCCGCGUGAAUGAAGAAGGUCUUCGGAUUGUAAAGUUCUGUUAUUGGGAAAGAACAUCAUAUUCAGGAAAUGGGAUAUGACUGACGGUACCCAAUUAGAAAGCCCCGGCCAACUACGUGCCAGCAGCCGCGGUAAUACGUAGGGGGCGAGCGUUAUCCGGAUUUAUUGGGCGUAAAGCGUGUGUAGGCGGUUUAUUAAGUCAGGCGUAAAAGAUCACAGCUCAACUGUGUAGGGCGUUUGAAACUGGUAGACUUGAAUACGGUAGAGGUAGGUGGAAUUCCAUGUGUAGCGGUGGAAUGCGUAGAUAUAUGGAGGAACACCAAUGGCGAAGGCAACCUACUGGGCCGGAAUUGACGCUGAGACACGAAAGCGUGGGGAGCAAACAGGAUUAGAUACCCUGGUAGUCCACGCCGUAAACGAUGAGAACUAAGUGUUGGCGCAAGUCAGUGCUGAAGUUAACGCAUUAAGUUCUCCGCCUGGGUAGUACGGUCGCAAGACUGAAACUCAAAGGAAUUGACGGGAACCCGCACAAGCGGUGGAGUAUGUUGUUUAAUUCGAAGAUACACGAAGAACCUUACCAGGUCUUGACAUACCAUUGACAGGUCUAGAGAUAGACCCUCCUUCGGGCAAUGGAUACAGGUGGUGCAUGGUUGUCGUCAGCUCGUGCCGUGAGGUGUUGGGUUAAGUCCCGCAACGAGCGCAACCCUCAUUGUUAGUUACUACCAUUCAGUUGAGGACUCUAAUGAGACUGCCAACGACAAGUUGGAGGAAGGUGGGGAUGACGUCAAAUCAUCAUGCCCUUUAUGACCUGGGCUACAAACGUACUACAAUGGCCAAUACAAAGAGAUGCGAAGCGGUGACGUGGAGCGAACCUCAGAAAGUUGGUCUCAGUUCAGAUUGAAGUCUGCAACUCGACUUCAUGAAGGCGGAAUCGCUAGUAAUCGCGAGUCAGCAGAUCGCGGUGAAUACGUUCCCGGGUUUUGUACACACCGCCCGUCAAACCAUGAGAGAUAGUAACACCCGAAGCCGGUGGCCUAACCCGAAAGGGAGGGAGCCGUCUAAGGUGGGACCAUUGAUUGGGGUUAAGUCGUAACAAGGUAUCCCUACGGGAACGUGGGGAUG
rnacentral:rRNA from 1 species